rnacentral:lncRNA from 1 species
AUGCAAGUGAUUUACAUAUUUUUCCCUAUCUGGUCAGCAGCUUCUGUAGAUAUCAAUAACUAAGGUUUACACAGGCCUUUGACUUUUAUCCAGGCCCCAUGGUGUACAAAAUGAUUGUUUCAUAACUCUUCCUCUUUGCUUGAUUUGUAAUUAGGAUGGAGGUGUAUUCAUAAUUUGAUAAAGAAGCAAUUGGAAAGAAGGAAGGAAGGAAGGAAGGAAGGAAGGAAGGAAGGAAGGAAGGAAGGAAGGAAGUCAACAUCUCAUUCUUUCUCCCUCUGGGUCUGUUUGUGUGUGUGUGUGUGUGUGUGUGAGAGAGAGAGAGAGAGAGAGAGAGAGAGAUCAGGUGUUUGGUUUGAUUAGAGAAAAACAGCAUCAUUGGGAAUGGUGAGAUAUGGACGAAAGGAAAAAAUAAAUAAAUCAGUAUGGAGGAAGCGCAGAAAGAUAGAGGGGAAAGUGGCAUCCAGACGCAAAUACAUUUGCACAUAUGAAGCUGUUCUAAUGAGAGCCAAAUUGAUUUGACAUUCAGUGGCAGUUUCAAGCCAAGAAAAGCAAAGCAGCCUACAAAAGGCCCAGCUCAUUGUUUAUGGAGUGUCAUACUGCAUCAUCUGUGAGACCAAUAACAGUGAUGGGAAGACCUUUAAAAGCGAGGAAUAUGCAGGAGAUGGUUGUGUGGCUACUACGGAUGUCAGAACCAAUAGACAGGCUAAGGAUCCUUCAUUGGAUCUAUAGCCACUGAUUUACCAGGACCAUGGAAUAAUAGUUAUGGUAACCCCUUCCUGUUUGAAGAUUGGAGACCCCUUCCGGACCCGUUGGCAGAAGGAGAAAAGACUCAUAAUCAUGUUACAGACACUUGUUUAUUGUUAAACGUACCAAUAAAUCUUUCACCUCUUUUGAAGCA